rnacentral:rRNA from 1 species
UAACCGGCGAUUUCCGAAUGGGGAAACCCAGUGUGAUUCGUCACACUAUCAUUAACUGAAUCCAUAGGUUAAUGAGGCGAACCGGGGGAACUGAAACAUCUAAGUACCCCGAGGAAAAGAAAUCAACCGAGAUUCCCCCAGUAGCGGCGAGCGAACGGGGAGCAGCCCAGAGCCUGAAUCAGUGUGUGUGUUAGUGGAAGCGUCUGGAAAGGCGCGCGAUACAGGGUGACAGCCCCGUACACAAAAAUGCACAUAUUGUGAGCUCGAUGAGUAGGGCGGGACACGUGGUAUCCUGUCUGAAUAUGGGGGGCCCAUCCUCCAAGGCUAAAUACUCCUGACUGACCGAUAGUGAACCAGUACCGUGAGGGAAAGGCGAAAAGAACCCCGGCGAGGGGAGUGAAAAAGAACCUGAAACCGUGUACGUACAAGCAGUGGGAGCACGCUUAGGCGUGUGACUGCGUACCUUUUGUAUAAUGGGUCAGCGACUUAUAUUCUGUAGCAAGGUUAACCGAAUAGGGGAGCCGAAGGGAAACCGAGUCUUAACUGGGCGUUAAGUUGCAGGGUAUAGACCCGAAACCCGGUGAUCUAGCCAUGGGCAGGUUGAAGGUUGGGUAACACUAACUGGAGGACCGAACCGACUAAUGUUGAAAAAUUAGCGGAUGACUUGUGGCUGGGGGUGAAAGGCCAAUCAAACCGGGAGAUAGCUGGUUCUCCCCGAAAGCUAUUUAGGUAGCGCCUCGUGAAUUCAUCUCCGGGGGUAGAGCACUGUUUCGGCAAGGGGGUCAUCCCGACUUACCAACCCGAUGCAAACUG